rnacentral:rRNA from 1 species
AUUGAACGCUGGCGGAAUGCUUUACACAUGCAAGUCGAACGGUAGAGGGGGCAACCCCUCGAGAGUGGCGAACGGGUGAGUAAUAUAUCGGAACGUGCCCAGUCGUGGGGGAUAACGUAGCGAAAGUUACGCUAAUACCGCAUACGAUCUAAGGAUGAAAGCGGGGGAUCGCAAGACCUCGCGCGAUUGGAGCGGCCGAUAUCAGAUUAGGUAGUUGGUGGGGUAAAGGCUCACCAAGCCAACGAUCUGUAGCUGGUCUGAGAGGACGACCAGCAAAACUGGAACUGAGACACGGUCCAGACGCCUACGGGAGGCAGCAGUGGGGAAUUUUGGACAAUGGACGCAAGUCUGAUCCAGCCAUUCCGCGUGCAGGAUGAAGGCCCUCGGGUUGUAAACUGCUUUUGUACGGAACGAAAAGGUCUCUCUUAAUACGGGGGACUCAUGGCGGUACCGUAAGAAUAAGCACCGGCUAACUACGUGCCAGCCGCCGCGGUAA